UCAACGAAAAAUCGAGAGAGAAAGAGGAGAGUAUAUGAACUGGAUACUUCAGAUAUGGAUUUCAAUUUGAAGAGAAUGUGGCCUUACCUGGCCUUGGCAGCAGCUGUUGUUGGGACGUUGUUGUCCAGAUGUUUUUCGAAAUACGGAAGAUCAGUCAUCUUGUUUGCUGUGGCUGCCUAUUCGCUGGUGAAAUUUCUCUCCUGACUGAUGAUGAUGGAGCUGAACAGGCCAAGGAAAAGGAACUGAACGAGUGAAUUGCGGCCUUGCGAGACGCCAUCCAGUGCCAGAGAGAGCAGCGGAAGGCGGGCAGAAGGGAAGAACGCACUUGUGCCGACCAGAUCACUCAGGUGUUGCAACAGCAAGCCUUGGAAGCCAAGGCCCCCUUGCUCGAAGAUGGUAGAAGAAAAUCAGCAGCUGAAGGACAACGCGAAAGAAAUCGGGCAGAGAAACGAUGACCUAUGUGAGAGGAUAAAGGAUGGGAUUGCACAGUUUUCAGAGGCAAGCUGCCUACUUGAGAGACUCGAGAAACUCCUACGACAGAAGGAGAAAGGCCUGCAGCUAAAGAUGGCAUAAGCAAGGCUCAUCCAGGAACAAAAAGACGCGAACGAAAUGCGGGAAUCCCAGAGGAAAGACCUGCAGAGGGAAGUGGAAGACCUCUGGAAGGAAAAGUGUGGACUCCAGCGUGAAGUUGAGGCGGCGAAACUCAAGAGGAACGAGCUGGUAUUGCCUUCUAGAGGAAGGAAAUCGUUGCCUGGAGUCGCUGGAGAGGAAGGCCUGUACAGGGCGAACGGAACGACCAGCUGGAAGAUGAGGUUCGACAGCUGCGAGGAGCGAAAAAGAAAUUGGUGUGCGACCUGAAGAACCUCCAUGAGAAAUAAAGAUGCCUAGAGAAGGACAACUGGAAACUGCAGAAGCAGCUGUUCAUCUUCAAGGAAUGGCGCGAUGAAGACUGCGCUGGCCUCACGAAGACGGAUCAGAUGUGAAAAUUUUGUUGUAUGGGAACUUUGAUGUUUAUUUUGUAAUAAGUUUGCUUUGUUAAUCCUUGAAGGAAAUUGAACUAGAACAGAAAUAAAUAUGUUAAAAUGU